rnacentral:rRNA from 1 species
UACAGAGGGUGCUAGCGUUGUUCGGAAUCAUUGGGCGUAAAGGGCGUGUAGGCGGUUUGUUAAGUCAUGUGUGAAAUCCCUCGGCUCAACCGGGGAACGACGCAUGAAACUGGCAAGCUAGAGUACCAAAGAGGGGGGUGGAAUUCCCGGUGUAGCGGUGAAAUGCGUAGAUAUCUGGAGGAACACCGGUGGCGAAGGCGGCAUCCUGGACCGACACUGACGCUGAGGAGCGAAAGCCAGGGGAGCAAACGGG